GGGGACGACUGGUUUUGACAGCAAGGUCAGUGAUAAUGUAAGCAUACCGAGGAGUGAAGAGAUUACUCGUUAAACUUUUUUCAACUUUUUAAACGGCGAAGAUAACUACGCUUUAGCUGCUUAAUCCGAAUUAUAGUAGGAUUGGCCUAGGCACACAAGGUGUGCAAGCUUUAUGUCCACGAACAGCCUUGGUUUACGGCGUUUCACUUUUGGGCAUCGUAAAAGUAAACAUAGAAAACUUGAAACUUUGGCUAGUUUUCGAAACUAAAGAAGAUAAGCUUUUAACAGAUUGUUCUUAAUCAGUUAUAAGUCGAAAAUUAAGAAAGAACUAAGUAUGUAGAAAGCCUUUGAGCUGCUUGUUUGGACCCGAGUUCGAUUCUCGGCGUCUCCACUU
rfam:Tenacibaculum soleae strain TCD-KL19 scaffold_0, whole genome shotgun sequence.